CGGACGGGUGAGUAACGCGUGGAAAACCUGCCGUAUACUGGGGGAUAACACUUAGGAAAUAGGUGCUAAUACCGCAUAAGCGCACAGCUUCGCAUGAAGCGGUGUGAAAAACUCUGGUGAUAUACGAUGGUUCCGCGUCUGAUUAGCUAGUUGGUGGGGUAAUGGCCUACCAAGGCAACGAUCAGUAGCCGGCCUGAGAGGGUGAACGGCCACAUUGGGACUGAGACACGGCCCAAACUCCUACGGGAGGCAGCAG
rnacentral:rRNA from 1 species